CCUACGGGAGGCAGCAGUAGGGAAUAUUGGGCAAUGGACGCAAGUCUGACCCAGCCAUGCCGCGUGCAGGAUGAAGGCGUUAUGCGUUGUAAACUGCUUUUAUACAGGAAGAAACGACUCUUGCGAGAGGCAUUGACGGUACUGUAUGAAUAAGCACCGGCUAACUCCGUGCCAGCAGCCGCGGUAAU
rnacentral:rRNA from 2 species